GACUGGCUAGGGAGGUCUGUAAUGAGGGAAGGACGACUCCCCCAUAGGAAAGCUGGGGGGAGGCUGCCCUUCUGGAACUCCUUGCUGAUUGAGCCCUGUCCUGCCUCCCUGUGGGGAGGGGCCCCCAAGUCCUCUCCUUCUGGCCUAAAGGUGGGGGGAGGCAUCAUUAAGAGAUUACACUGCGGUCUGGUCUUUUUAGAGCUCACACAGCUCGCUCCUCAAAGCAUCUCUGUGAGGUCAGGGAUGCUCAGGGCCCCACCCAGAGCUUGUACCUUGACCAGACUCCCUUCUGUAACAUCCCUGAGCAGGAGUCUUGACUUGGAGAUGUCCAGUGAGGAAGGACCCAGCAUCUGUCAAGGCAACUACUUUUGGACAGUUCUGAGAAGAAAUGAUGCAGAGAGAAAUCAACAGAGCCAGGAAAACAGUACCCACCAUGAUGACAACAGCACAAUGAAAAGAAUGAAAACUCCAAAUUGAACACUGUGUGAUUAUAACGAUCAUGCUUAGCUCCAGAGAAGAGAUGAACAAACCAGGGAGUGAAGAGCCUACUCUGUGCCUGGCCCUUGGCUGUGCCCUGGGGAGACAAAGGGCAGAGGUGCCCUUCUCUUGGCACAGGUGGCCCAGCACUCACACUCUCAGCCUUGCUUGAUGUAUCACUUUGGCUGAGGCCAUUUUUUUCUUCUUUUUCUUUUGUGUAAAGGGCUGUUUUAGGGGU